rnacentral:tRNA from 2 species
UGGGGAGUCGCCAAGCGGUAAGGCACGGGACUUUGGAUCCUGUACCGCAGGUUCGAAUCCUGCCUCCCCAGCCA